rnacentral:rRNA from 1 species
CCUACGGGAGGCUGCAGUGGGGAAUUUUGGACAAUGGGCGCAAGCCUGAUCCAGCUAUUCCGCGUGUGGGAAGACGGCCUUCGGGUUGUAAACCACUUUUGUAGAGAACGAAAAGUCUAUUGAUAAUACCGAUAGAUGAUGACGGUACUCUAAGAAUAAGCACCGGCUAACUACGUGCCAGCAGCCGCGAUAAUACGUAGGGUGCGAGCGUUAAUCGGAAUUACUGGGCGUAAGGGGUGUGCAGGCGGUUUUGCAAGAUGGAUGUGAAAGCCCCGGGCUUAACCUGGGAAAGCCAUACAUGACUGGAAGACUAGAGUGCGUCAGAGGGGGGUGGAAUUCCAAGUGUAGCAGUGAAAUGCGUAGAUAUUUGGAAGAACACCGAUGGCGAAGGCAGCCCCCUGGGACGCAACUGACGCUCAUACACGAAAGCGUGGGGAGCAAACAGGAUUAGAUACCCGUGUAGUC